CCUCGGAGUGGGGAAUAACACAACGAAAGCUGUGCUAAUACCGCAUGAUGCAGCUGGGUCGCAUGACUCUGGCUGCCAAAGAUUUAUCGCUCUGAGAUGGCCUCGCGUCUGAUUAGCUGGUUGGCGGGGUAACGGCCCACCAAGGCGACGAUCAGUAGCCGGACUGAGAGGUUGGCCGGCCACAUUGGGACUGAGACACGGCCCAG
rnacentral:rRNA from 1 species